rnacentral:rRNA from 1 species
AGCAGCCGCGGUAAUUCCAGCUCCAAUAGCGUAUAUUAAAGUUGUUGCAGUUAAAAAGCUCGUAGUUGAAUUUCGGGGUCAGUAGGUCGGUCGUGCCACUGGUAUGAACUGGUUUUACUGAUUCCUCCCCCUUGAAGAACUGUAAUGCCAUUAAUUUGGUGUUGCAGGGAAUCAGGACUGCUACUUUGAAAAAAUUAGAGUGUUUAAAGCAGGCUUUAGCUUGAAUACAUUAGCAUGGAAUAAUGAAAUAGGACGUUUGAUCCUAUUUUGUUGGUUUCUAGGAUUGACGUAAUGAUUAAUAGGGAUAGUUGGGGGCAUUAGUAUUCAAUUGUCAGAGGUGAAAUUCUUGGAUUUAUUGAAGACUAACUACUGCGAAAGCAUUUGCCAAGGAUGUUUUCAUUAAUCAAGAACGAAAGUUAGGGGAUCGAAGACGAUCAGAUACCGUCGUAGUCUUAACCAUAAACUAUGCCGACUAGGGAUCGGAUGAUGUUAAUUUUUUUAAUGACUCAUUCGGCGCCUU